UCGGAUAUGGUGUAACGGCUAACAUUGCCGCCUCUCACACGAGUGCCCGCGGCAGCUCGGGGUUCGAUUCCCCGUAUCCGAA
rnacentral:tRNA from 1 species